rnacentral:rRNA from 1 species
UACGAACUGUGCGAACGUUAUUCGGAAUCACUGGGCUUACAGGGUGCGUAGGCGGCUUGUUAAGUAGGGUGUGAAAGCCCCCGGCUCAACCGGGGAAUUGCGCCCUAAACUGGCGAGCUAGAGUGAGAUAGGGGUAUGUGGAACUUCCGGUGGAGCGGUGAAAUGUGUUGAUAUCGGAAGGAACGCCGGUGGCGAAAGCGACACACUGGGUCUCAACUGACGCUGAGGCACGAAAGCCAGGGGAGCGAACGGG